rnacentral:rRNA from 1 species
AGACCAGCACCUCAAGUGGUCAGGAUGAUUAUUGGGCCUAAAGCAUCCGUAGCCGGCUCUGUAAGUUUUCGGUUAAAUCUGUACGCUCAACGUACAGGCUGUCGGGAAUACUGCAGAGCUCGGGAGUGGGAGAGGUAGACGGUACUCGGGAGGAAGUGGUAAAAUGCUUUGAUCUCUCGAUGACCACCUGUGGCGAAGGCGGUCUACCAGAACACGUCCGACGGUGAGGGAUGAAAGCUGGGGGAGCAAACCGGAUUAGAUACCCGGGUAGUCC